rnacentral:rRNA from 1 species
UACUGCUCAGUAACACGUAGACAUCUGCUCUUGAGAGGGGGAUAACCUCGGGAAACUGAGGACAAUACCCUAUAGGUUUGAAGCUCUGGAAUGACUCUUGCCUAAAGGACCCAGCCUAUUGCCGGCUGGCGUCGCUCAAGAAGGAGUCUGCGGCGGAUUAGGUUGACGUUAGGGUAAUGGCCUAACGUGCCUACGAUCCGUAUCGGCUAUGGGAGUAGGAGCCGGGAGAUGGAUACUGAGACAAGGAUCCAGGCCCUACGGGGCGCAGCAGGCGCGAAAUCUUCGCAAUGUGCGAAAGCACGACGAGGGAACCCCAAGUGCCCUUGUACAACAAGGGCUUUUGUAGAGUUUAAAUAACUCUGCGAAUAAGGGCUGGGUAAGGCUGGUGCCAGCCUCCGCGGUAAAACCAGCAGCUCGAGUGGUACUCGCGAUUAUUGGGCUUAAAGCGUACGUAGUCGGUUCGGCCAGUUCUCUGUGAAAUCCUGUGACUUAAUUACAGGGCUUGCGGGGGAUACUACCGGACUAGGAACCGGGAUAGGUCAGGGGUAUUCCUUGGGUAGCGGUGAAAUGCUAUAAUCCAGGGAAGACCACCAAUAGCGAAGGCACCUGUCUGGAACGGGUUCGACGAUGAGGGACGAAAGCUAGGGGAGCAAACGGGAUUAGAUACCCCGGUAGUCCUAGCCGUAAACGAUGCAGACUAAGUGUUUCCUGAACUUUGUGUUCGGGAAGCGUUGAAGGGAAACCGUUAAGUCUGCCGUCUGGGGAGUACGGUCGCAAGGCUGAAACUUAAAGGAAUUGGCGGGGGAGCACCACAAGGGGUGGAGUCUGCGGUUUAAUUGGAUACAACGCCGGGAAACUUACCAGGGGCGACGGCAGAAUGAUGGCCAGGCUGAAGGUCUUGCCAGACAAGCCGAGAGGUAGUGCAUGGCCGCCGUCAGCUCGUACCGUAAGGCGUGCGGUUAAGUCCGUUAACGAGCGAGACCC